GCGAGAGAUCGAUCUACUCUUAAUGCCCUUUCUCCUCUCAUAUCUUCCCCAUGCCUCUCUAGAAAAAUAACUUCCCUGCUCUCAUCGGAUUUGAUUCUGAUUUUUCAUCCGAUCCGCUAUAGAUUUCCCUGGCAAAACAUGCAGAUCUGCCUCCUGAUGCCUGCCUCCUCCCAUUAUUCCCCCUCCAUCGAUGUAUACCUAUUGGCGUAUUGCGGCAAGCCGUUCCUGCGCACGCGACCGGCGGCGGCGGCAAGCCGUUCCUGCGCAUGUGACCAAAUCGAGAAGGCCAGAAGGGGCGGAGGUGCGGGCAGCUCCUUUGCACGCGCGCUGCAUGGGGCAAGCGUGCUGCAAGCAUCGGUCAAUCGGUGGCCAGCAGGACUACAGUACAGCAGCUUCUGCGGCGUGACGGCAUCCGGAGCAUAGCAGGACAGCAGCAUCUGUUAUUUCGCCUCGCUUCUUUAGUUUUCAUUAUGCCUCCUGAUUUACCCAAUCCAAUCUCCAAUUAUUUGUCCGGUUGUGCUGAAUUUUGGUUGUCUUACUUGAUUUUUAUGCAUAAUAAUUUUGCAGACCUAGAAAAUGGAGGGGCUAAGGCAUUGAAAUCAUUUUUAUUCUCCUGUGCUGUGUCUAUUUUACACCCAAAGUCACGGAACCAACCCUGUCCAUUAGGCAGUAGGUGUAGAAGAACCCCUUAAUGCAAUCGGUACUUUGUAUUUUCAAUUAUAAUUUUUAACAAUUAAUUAUAUUUUGCACAUCCUUUAUUUCUUUGAAAUAAAUAGCUUCAGAUUUACAUGACCUGGCAUGGACUUUCUAGGCUUUUUUAGGAAGUGGGGCCGUAGGCGUGAAGAUUCAUCAGCUCCUCCAUUGCAUGUCUUCGCAGUCCGUUCAGAACAACAGGAUGAGAAAGUAAGGUUUCACUUCAUAGCUGCCCAACGGCAUAUUUGGAUUUGUAGGUAUCAACUAAUCCCCUGAGGUUAGGGUUCAAAUUUCUAUCGCAUUUUCACAUGGUUUGCCUUAUCUUAUCUAUAUAUUUGUUUCUGACCGAAAAGGCUGGCUACUUUUUUGUCAGGCAACUGAAUCCUGUGAUUUACGCUUGCUUCCUGUAGCAAUGACAAAUAGUUUUAUUUUCUUAGAUGAUAUAGGCUCAGAAGUUAUUGUCCCCCAUCUGUAGUCUCGUGGGUUACCAAUUGCAUAUUUAUUCUCAGACAUCAGGGUCGGUUGGGGAGUUCAUAAACAUUCUUGAUUAUGAAAAGAUUUGUUCGUACUACCAUCUGGAAAUAUAGAAUUUUAACAUCAUUUACAGUUAUUACGUAUGUCCUGCAGUCAGGAACCAGGGUGCAGAACUGCAGAUGCAUUGUUGAAAGGGUGCAUGAUUGAAAAGAAUUUGAAAUGUUAGACUCAAGCAUAUCGGUUCCCUCUGCUUCAUAUAUUCGAGUCUUUUCUUCUAUGUUUCAGCACAUGGUAAAUCCUGCCCUUUGUUGAGAAGCCAGUGGCUACUACUAGGAUGGAUCGAAGGUAGCUGCCCUGGGACAAUUUGAGCCAACAUGAAUCAGACGGACCAGCAUUGAAUCAGGAUGUAGAAGGAUGACACGAUAAUUGUUUGUGGUGAGGCCUUUGAUGGAUGAUCUUCAAGCACCAUACUGCUAAAAUGCUUUCACAGGACAAUUCGUGAAGCAUUUUUUUCUCUGCUAGGAUUAGCCUUAGCCAGUUGCUUUUAGCUUAUUUCUUGUAUCGUACUGGUUCAUUUUUUCUUGGAUGCAAAUAAGCAUCUUGAAGUGUUGAAGUUUGCAUAAAUGAUAAAAGUUUGCUAUCACAAUUUAUUUGUUUCCCGCUA